UUCUUCUUUGGAACCGACUGAAUAGAAAAUAGCCAACUUUACAAAUUUAAACCAAGAAAUAAAUGAAUCGAACUUUAAAAAAAAAGAACUUAUGGAUUCAACGAUUUCGUUGAUUCGAAACCGGGACAAGUUGGUCAAAGCCGUCGAAGCGUCAUCCUCGGUUUGAAGCUGAGACACUUCGUCUACCACCUGAGUUUGGACCAGGUCGACCACGUCCCUCACAAGAUCGUCAUCAAUCUGGCCGGUCUUCUUGUUGGUAUACGCCCUCCUCAUUAGGGCGAGAUCAUCAACCGGCUCGCCAUCAUUUUCUUCCGCCUUGAAAAAAAACAUAAAUUAAAAAAACAUUAGAAAUUAGAAGAAAUGCACAAUAAAUUAAAAUUCUAAAACUCAAAUAAUUGAAGAAAAAGCGGU
rnacentral:lncRNA from 1 species